UACGUAGGGUGCAAGCGUUGUCCGGAAUUAUUGGGCGUAAAGAGCUCGUAGGCGGUCUGUCGCGUCUGCUGUGAAAUCUCGGGGCUCAACUCCGAGCUUGCAUUCGAUACGGGCAGGCUAGAGUUCGGUAGGGGAGACUGGAAUUCCUGGUGUAGCGGUGAAAUGCGCAGAUAUCAGGAGGAACACCGGUGGCGAAGGCGGGUCUCUGGGCCGAUACUGACGCUGAGGAGCGAAAGCGUGGGGAGCGAACAGG
rnacentral:rRNA from 1 species